rnacentral:siRNA from 1 species
AUUGUGCCUUAAAGCCGGGCCUGA